UACGUAGGAGGCAAGCGUUGUCCGGAGUUAUUGGGCGUAAAGAGCUCGUAGGCGGUUCGUCGCGUCGGCUGUGAAAUCCCGAGGCUCAACCUCGGGUCUGCAGUCGAUACGGGCGGACUGGAGUUCGGCAGGGGAGACUGGAAUUCCUGGUGUAGCGGUGAAAUGCGCAGAUAUCGGAAGGAACACCAGUGGCGAAGGCGGCUACCUGGACAAAUACUGACGCUGAGGCGCGAAAGCGUGGGGAUCAAACAGG
rnacentral:rRNA from 1 species